rnacentral:rRNA from 1 species
ACGUAGGUGGCAAGCGUUGUCCGGAAUUAUUGGGCGUAAAGCGCGCGCAGGCGGUUCCUUAAGUCUGAUGUGAAAGCCCCCGGCUCAACCGGGGAGGGUCAUUGGAAACUGGGGAACUUGAGUGCAGAAGAGGAAAGUGGAAUUCCACGUGUAGCGGUGAAAUGCGUAGAGAUGUGGAGGAACACCAGUGGCGAAGGCGACUUUCUGGUCUGUAACUGACGCUGAGGCGCGAAAGCGUGGGGAGCAAACAGGAUUAGAAACCCCCGUAGUCC